rnacentral:lncRNA from 1 species
AAACGAGUCCUCUGACUUUCAUUUGUACACACAAUCCUUCCUCCUCUCGUCUCCUGCACUGAGCUUUAUCUUACCUGCACUGCCUUUAAAGAAGUCUCUCUUCACUAAACCUCUGCCUGAAACUUCAUUGCUUUUAGGGUAAAAACCAAAGGCCUUAACAUGGCUUACUAACUCUGUCUGUCAUUGGUAACUUGGCUUCAGCCACCCUGCAUUUUCUUCCUGCCACAGGCCCUUUGCAUAUCCUGUUCCCUCUACCUAGAACACUCUCCCUUCCUCUGUUUACCUAGUUAACUUCUACUUAUCCUUCAGAUCUCAGAUCACUUAUUUUCUCUGGAAAGCCUCCAUGACCUCCCUCAACUCAUUAAAGGCUCCUGUUUUUAAGGUCUCAAAACCCAUGUACCCUUCAUUCUUAGCAGUCAUGAUAGGUGCAAUUUCUAUGGUUUGUAUGAUAAUUUGACCAAUGCCUGUCUCCCCAGGGAGACCACAAGCCCCAGAGGAACAUGGGCUUGUCUGCCUUGUUUACUGCUUCAUUCCAGCACCAGGGUUUAACAUGAAGAAACAACCUAAUUAAAUGUUGGAGGCAAAGUGCUGACGCCAGAGUAUUACUACUUCCAAACCCUUGAGAAUAAAAAAAAAAAAUCCACUCAGUAAACUCAUAUAUAUCCUCUGAAUCAAGUUCAUAAUAGCAGUUGUGACAUGAUGAGGGGGGCAGAAAACCACCAUGGAGCCAGGAGACCUAAGUUAGAAUCCCAUGUCUAAUUGCCCUUUGGGUCUAAGUUUCCUCAUCUGUGAAAAAGGUGAAAUAACAGCAUUCUCCCCAACAACUGCUUAGACUUGCUUCGCCUAAUGAAACCACUUCAAGGAUGUAUACUUAUGAGUUGAUUAUUGCCCAAUGUCCACUGGGGAAUCAAGAAAGGCCAUCAGUACACCAGGCCCCACUGUUGUGUGCAGACUCUGCAUGGGACAGGAAGCAUCAGCUCUUGGACUCCCCAAGAAGGGCGUCUGCACCAGCCUGGGCUACCAUGGGCCCUGCAGUAUUGAUCACCAGUAUUGCAGAGGGAACAUUUGCCUUUAUUCCCCUUUCAAAUAAUUAAAGUAUAAUAUUUUAUGGCCUGAUAAAAUUUACUGAGACCCUUGGCACGUAAUUAUAGUGCUUCUUUAAAGGAGACCCCAUAAAAGAUGCAUGAUUAGAAAGUUAAGGAUCUGGAUAGAAUUGCAACGAUGUGACAAAUAAUUUACAAGUGAUAAACUGUCUGAGGGGGAAGAAAUUCCAAUAACCUCUGAUGAAGGCUAACAAUUAAAAUAAUAAAUUCCCCAAGAUCAAGGGUAAACCUUUUUUCUUGGUCAAAGACUUAGACUCCACAGGCCCAGGAACAAGAACAAACCUUCUUGUCAAAGUCAAGUCCUGGUUUCUCCGGACAUCUGUUCUUUAUUUCU